rnacentral:rRNA from 1 species
UACGUAGGGGGCAAGCGUUGUCCGGAUUUAUUGGGCGUAAAGAGCGUGUAGGCGGUUAGGUAGGUCCGUUGUGAAAACUCGAGGCUCAACCUCGAGACGCCGAUGGAAACCAUCUAACUAGAGUCCGGAAGAGGCGAGUGGAACUCCGUGGUGUAGCGGUGGAAUGCGCAGAUAUCAGGAAGAACACCAACGGCGAAGGCGGCUCACUGGCCCGGUACUGACGCUGGAGGCACGAAAGCGUGGGGAGCAAAC